UACGGAGGGUGCGAGCGUUGUCCGGAAUCAUUGGGCGUAAAGGGCGCGUAGGUGGCCCGGUCAGUCUUUGGUGAAAGCGCGGGGCUCAACCCUGCGUCGGCCAGGGAUACUGCCGCGGCUCGAGCACUGUAGAGGCAGGCGGAAUUCCGGGUGUAGCGGUGGAAUGCGUAGAUAUCGUGAGGAACACCAGAGGCGAAGGCGGUUACCUGGACAGUUACUGACGCUCAGGCACGAAAGCAUGGGGAGCAAAAGGG
rnacentral:rRNA from 1 species